rnacentral:rRNA from 1 species
GUGGGGAAUUUUGGACAAUGGGCGCAAGCCUGAUCCAGCAAUGCCGCGUGCAGGAAGAAGGCCUUCGGGUUGUAAACUGCUUUUGUACGGAACGAAACGGUCCUGGUUAAUACCUGGGGCUAAUGACGGUACCGUAAGAAUAAGCACCGGCUAACUACGUGCCAGCAGCCGCGGUAAUACGUAGGGUGCGAGCGUUAAUCGGAAUUACUGGGCGUAAAGCGUGCGCAGGCGGUGCUGUAAGACAGGCGUGAAAUCCCCGGGCUCAACCUGGGAAUUGCGGUUGUGACUGCAGUGCUGGAGUACGGCAGAGGGGGAUGGAAUUCCGCGUGUAGCAGUGAAAUGCGUAGAUAUGCGGAGGAACACCGAUGGCGAAGGCAGUCCCCUGGGCCUGUACUGACGCUCAUGCACGAAAGCGUGGGGAGCAAACAGGAUUAGAAACCCUGGUAGUCC